GCUGUGGGCUUGUGACGACCGACGGCGACCAACCGUGGGGCUCCACGAUGCGGUCUUCUCUACGGACACGACACAGGUGGCCGAUCUCAGGCUUCGCGGGCGGCAACAGGGCGCCCGAUGGUGGCGGAGCGCUUGGGGCGCGCGGCGACACUUCGGAGGAGGCGGCGCUCGGCCUGGCGGUGGCAUGAUACAGCGACAG
rnacentral:lncRNA from 1 species